UCGAACGUGGUGUAUGGUGCACUGCCUUGACUCAUAACUUGUGAGUACAAUAUCGAAGGCAAGUCGGGGUUCGACUCCCCGCGUUUGAA